CCGUAUGAAUAAGGACCGGCUAAUUCCGUGCCAGCAGCCGCGGUAAUACGGAAGGUCCGGGCGUUAUCCGGAUUUAUUGGGUUUAAAGGGAGCGUAGGCCGUUUGUUAAGCGUGUUGUGAAAUGUCGGGGCUCAACCUGGGCAUUGCAGCGCGAACUGGCAGACCUGAGUGCGCGGGAAGUAGGCGGAAUUCGUCGUGUAGCGGUGAAAUGCUUAGAUAUGACGAAGAACUCCGAUUGCAAAGGCAGCCUGCUGUAGCGUAACUGACGCUGAAGCUCGAAAGCGUGGGUAUCGAACAGGAUUAGAUACCCUGGUAGUCCACGCGGUAAACGAUGGAUGCUCGCUGUA
rnacentral:rRNA from 1 species